UUAAGGCGCAGUUAUUCCGCAAUAAAAUCCCCCGCAGCUGAGCUGUAAUUAACUGUGAAUAAGAGGGGCAGCUUAACACUUCUGUUUAAAUUAUUGAAAUAGAAAAAUGCCCAGAUUGAUGGGGCUUAGUGUGCACGUGUGUGUAUAUUUAUGCAAAGUGGUGGAAUCGUAUUUGAUCCCGCCGAGAUUUAUGGGCAUUAUUGUUGUUAACUUAUUCUUUUGUUAGCUUUUAAUCUGCUUUUUUCUUUCUUUCUUUCUUUGUUUUGUGUUUUAUCUCUGGCAGUUUGGAUACUCUGAGCCGGACACUGUUCCCGAAGAGAACACUGGGGAGUCGUUUAAGAAGCAAAUGCCGUUUUCUUCCUGCACGCUGGCUACUGACCGCGCAUCUGAAGUCCUCGAAUCACAACAGGAUUUGCACACUUUACGCUCACAGCCACAACAGGUGUGAAACGGCUGACUUGGGAGAGUGCCAUUCCGGAUAGGUGGCGAGUCAGCUGAAGGCGGAGAAAUCAUUAACAAAAGCCACCGCUUUGGAUCAGCUGAAAAGGUGGACGUGUCUCAACGAUUCUGUAUAUUUGUUGGUGAGCAUAACAACCCGAAGAUAGGAUGAAGUACAAUCAUAAAUGGGACAGUCCUAAUAAAAUCAGAAAAAAUAGAGAAUAAUGAAUAAAUGAGUGACCUUUGUAAAAACUCCAAGUAUAUCCCUAAAGUGUUACUGUAGAACCAAGCUCAGUCCUUUAACAUAUUAUUAAAUUCUGGGAGUUGAAGUCCACCUCUCUGAAAGUCGCUAAGGUUGAGAAACACUGAUAGUGAAUAUAUAAUAAAAUGAAAAAAUGAAAGGAGAGCCUACAUGAAGAUAUUUCUUUUACAAUAAUAGUUCCGAUCUUAAGAUAAAUUACUUGUUAUUAAAAUCUCCAUUGUGUUGUUGCAUGGUGUAUAUGUAUGUGUGUGUGUGUGUGUGUGUGUG